UCAGGAUGAACGCUGGCGGCGUGCCUAACACAUGCAAGUCGAGCGAGAUAGGUUGAAGCCUAGCCGAUUCCGUAUCGUUAGCGGCGGGAUGGGUGAGUAACACGUGGGUAACCUGCCCUGUACUGGGGGAUAACAGCUGGAAACGGCUGUUAAUACCGCAUAUGCGCACGGAGCCGCAUGGCCCUGGGCGGAAAGAUUCAUCGGUACAGGAUGGGCCCGCGCCGGAUUAACUUGUUGGCGGGGUAACGGCCCACCAAGGUGAUGAUCCGUAGCCGACCUGAGAGGGUGACCGGCCACAUUGGGACUGAGACACGGCCCAAACUCCUACGGGAGGCAGCAGUGGGGGAUAUUGCACAAUGGGGGAAACCCUGAUGCAGCGACGCCGCGUGAAGGAAGAAGUAUUUCGGUAUGUAAACUUCUAUCAGCGGGGAAGAAGAUGACGGUACCCGCACAAGAAGCCCCGGCUAACUACGUGCCAGCAGCGGC
rnacentral:rRNA from 1 species